UAGCUUAAUUAAUGCACCAAGGAAAGUAGUCGUAUACACUCACAAACUACUCGAUAGGCUGACACUUGUUAUUUACGAUAGAGGUAUUGUGAUAAGAUAAAAAAGACAAUAUUUGUAAGCAUUAUCUACUUCGCAAUUCCAGGACCACACGACUGAGAUAGAAGAUUAAGAAUCUUGACUGCAAUUAGUUGUAAUUAGUAUCAGUCAUCAUUAUUAUAUUGUCCCACUUUUUCCAUUGUAGUUGCCAUCUGUUUUGUCUAAUCUAUGAUUAUCCUGCAUUAUAGAGAUGUGCAAAAUAGGAGCUAAUAAGUUAAUCAGAGCUGUAGAUAAACAGAAGAUGUGAAUUACUAAAUGAGUUCACUUCUGUUAUCACCAAUUAUUACUUAUUUUGGAUUCUCAAAGUUACUAGCAUAAAUUCAAACAAUGCUCUACGUAUUGCAGCAACAUAAUUCAGAACAACGAUGCGAAAAUUCUGACUGUACAAUGUAACUAUUGAAGCAGAGAGAAACACUGUAAUGGGCAGAAAGCAGCUACAAAGAUACCUCUGAAGAAUAUAUGAAGAUCUGGACUACGAUCACUGCAGUGUUCCAUCAUGCAAGUUAACUCAAGGCACAUCAUGAAGAAAUAUAUAAACCCACAUGGAAACAUACGAUGAGAAGAUCACAAGAAGCAGUGAAAGGUUUCUCUUAAAGACCAAGGAGAUUUGUUUAAUUUUGUGAAUUAAUAGGUUUCAUAGUUCUAAUAUUUGAUAUAUGAAGUCUUAAGAAUUUGUUGACCACUUGUAAGAGUUGAUUCAGUCUCUUAUAAUUAAGUGAUCUCAUGUUCCUUCAGUAAUCAAUCAAAAAGAACGAUGACUUCAAACAUUUUUUUCAACAUAUAAAUUUCUCCAUUCAACUAAAGUCUUUUAUCUUUAGAAAAAAUUCUAACUAGUAUUGGUCACUGUACAUCUUAAUAAAGCAUAACCUCCUUUGCAAAAGUGAUAAAAAAAGAGUAGAAAAUAUCCAAUCUCAAACCUGCAAUCAAUCCCUAAUAAGAUUUUCUCAUACGAUCAUAACCAUUUUUUUUUUUUUUUUUGGGUUCUUGUACACAGGACAUGAAGUUGUACAACAAAAGUUUAAAGAAAACGAGAGUUAGCCAAUUAUGAACAUUAGGAUUUGAGCUUGUUUCCAGCAAUGUCACAUCACAUUCCGGUGGUUGAUCAAGCCCAAGUAAUACUAGAACUUCGUUGAGCUAAUUGCUUCCAAUAAUCAAGUCCUACAAAAUUAUAUGUAUUCUAAUCUCAUGUAGUAAAACAUCUCUGUAACUGACAAUUUGAAAUUUAUCUUGAUAAAUUUGGCUCUUACAAAAUAAACCUGAUCUUUUUCCAAAUGGAUUACAUUUUGACUAUCACAAAACACUGUCAUAACCUCUCAGAAAUGUUGAAUUUAUUAACUAUAAUAUAAAACAAGUAGGUUUCCUUCAUAAGUAAGGUCUUUGCCAUCCAUGACAAAGACACAGAAGAAUAUGACAUCGACCUUUCUCCACAGAAUCCCAGUUAGUAUAGACAUAAGAUUGUGCCCGAUAUACUUUUAUUAAAGACAGCAUAUGAUCUGAAUCUACAAAGCCAAUAACCUUCACAUGAGAUUCUUAAACAUUGUUCAUCUUAUACAUCAAUACUAAAUUUGGAGUACCAGAGCAUGCCAAUUGGGGAUUUGUCGGGAUGAUGUUUUAAGACAUUCCUAGUACUGUUUAUCUGAAGCAAAACUUGGAUCAUCAAGCCCAUACAUUCAAGCUUUUAAUUUCCAAAAAGCAGUCAUUUUUAACUCAACUUUCUAAGACUGUAUAGAAUCUUUAAAUUUCCAUUUUGAAUGGAACCCACUGUUCUGCAAUAGAAACUCUCGAGAGAUUGACUCAAAGUCUGAAGCAAAAGAAUGUAUGAGAAGAAUAAAGUCAUUAGCUACCCAAUCACCAUUUAAAAUUGGAACAGGAACAGGAACAGGAACCAGAACCAGCAACUACACCUAAAUAUAAAUGCAAUUCAGUAUGAAGCAGAUCAAAAUUAGUACAAGACAUAAAAUUUGACACGCUUGGGUUAGAAAUUCAUAACUCAACCCAAAACCUUCCAAAGGAAAUCCCUCGAGUUUAAACACGAUCAUAGGAAAUACAAAUAAAAUUCGAAAGUUGGGCUUGCCAUAAAAAUAGUAAGCUUACCUCUACUCUCUAGAGAACCGUCUGCUGUGGCUGAUUUGGCCAACGGCUAGUUCUUUCCCGCCUGCCUUUUCUCUUCUGCUCUAAAGUCGGGGGGAAGUUUACCGCAGACGGUUUUCAUCGUACAGUUUGUUAAGUGAUGGAUUUUUUUUGGGCCGUAAUGGGCCAGAGAACCGCACCCAACUGCAUUGUUUGAAAGAUUGUACUGUAUACUACUUGAAAACUGCACAGUAUCAGUAGGGACGGAGAUUGCCGCUUCCAAUUUU
rnacentral:lncRNA from 1 species